UAUCCAGCUAAGUACUUAAUUUGGGGAGUAAAUGCCCUUCGGAGAGGGGGAUGAUUUCUGGAAGAAUCUACUGAUAUCUGGCAAACUUGUAGGUUUAUGACAUCACAGAUACCAAGGGACGGAGCCUUGAUUAAUUUAGAGAUGAAGUGAUUUUCAUUCAAGUUGAUUAAUUUGGAAUUCAUUUUAUGGACUGUUUAACUCUUCACACCAGUCACAGAGCUAGAAGGAAGGAUCUCUUUAAAGAUUCAACACACCUCAUUUUUCAAGGCUAGCUAAGAAAGCUCCUAGUCCAUAUGGCUGAGUUCUUCAACUAACAUCUUCAGCUAAACCAAAGUGACAGGACUAUCUGAAGUGUCAAGAUGUAAGGUCACAUCAGUUUCCUGAUCUUCUGAGAACAAGAUGGUGGUUUCUUAGAAGCACCUAGUACACAUCCAGCGGCUGUUAUCUGGCUUACAAGUAGCAUCUUCUCUCGUGUAAUGGGGGAAUACACAGAAGAUGGAAACUUAUAGUGAAAGAUCCAUGAAGUAUUCACCUGCCCUUCAGAAAUCAUCUCCACCAUCCUUUUUUUAGAAAGAAGGUCUAAGAGGAAGCUGAACAUUAUGCCACUCAGAACAUGCAGUAGAGAUUAGAUAUUCUUUAAGGACAAAGUACUUUUUAUAACCUAUUUGGUGGUGCUAAGUGCUGAAGGCUGGAAUGUUGUUGCCUCGAUAACACUGUCUGGGCUGCUCAGUGCUUCUGUCCUUGGAGCUCCAGUGUUAGCAGAUAAUAGAGCCUGCUGAUUCAGCAGACCUCGUUGUUACUCAAGAAAGACCACAGGCACAGUUAAGUAACAAAGGUGCUCUGCCAAGUUGAUUGCCCUCAAGGCACAUUACUAGCAUCCCGUAGGAACUACUAAUACACUAGCAUAUGAGUGUCCAGUGACCAGGAAUGGCUCAAUGAGAAGUGGGAUUUUCUGCUGUCCCCUCAGCCACACAAAGGGCUAAGGCAAGGUACCCUGACAUUUAUAGACUGAGACAAACAACUGGAAUAAAUAACUUAUGUACCACCUUAA